UGCACUCGACGGGAUUUGAACCCGCGCGUUGUUUCCAACAUCACCGCGUAAAGGUGACGCCAUAGACCGCUCGGCCUC
rnacentral:tRNA from 1 species